GGGGGCGACCUGGUUUCGACGUGGGUUGCAAAGCAGUACAGGGCAUGUCGAGGUUCUGGAUCCUCGUAAAACAGCUAGAAAAAAAGUAAACGCAAACGACGAAACGUUCGCACUAGCCGCUUAAUUGCGGUCUAGCGCUGCACCGGUGGGUCUGAACGCCGGGAGAGGCAACUCUCAGCAGUGUCAUCUAAACAGAAUCGGUGCUGCUCGGGUAGCUUGAGUUUCACUUAAAUCCAAGGCUGCUGGUUCGUUGUCGGCCCGUCCAUGGGCUAAGCAGCGAAUGAGAAAAAAAUGCGUGGACUACACAUGUAGAACUGUCUGUAGAGUACUUACGGACGCGGGUUCGAUUCCCGCCGCCUCCACCA
rnacentral:tmRNA from 1 species